AUUGAACGCUGGCGGCAGGCCUAACACAUGCAAGUCGAGCGGUAGAGAGAAGCUUGCUUCUCUUGAGAGCGGCGGACGGGUGAGUAAUGCCUAGGAAUCUGCCUGGUAGUGGGGGAUAACGUUCGGAAACGGACGCUAAUACCGCAUACGUCCUACGGGAGAAAGCAGGGGACCUUCGGGCCUUGCGCUAUCAGAUGAGCCUAGGUCGGAUUAGCUAGUUGGUGGGGUAAUGGCUCACCAAGGCGACGAUCCGUAACUGGUCUGAGAGGAUGAUCAGUCACACUGGAACUGAGACACGGUCCAGACUCCUACGGGUGGCUG
rnacentral:rRNA from 1 species